AACUGAGUAUGAGAGAGGGGGCUAGAAACCAGGCAGUUGGUGGGUGGCUCUUGUCUCUCCUGGGUUUGAAUAGUCUGACUGGACCCAGACACUUUAGCUGUUGAUUUUAAGGUUGGGAGCUCUGAACCAGGGCCCUAAGAUAACACUUGGUGCACCGCUCUUUCCUGAGAGCCCUGGAAGAGCAUUUCUCCUGGAAUAUCCAGCCCCUUCCACUAGAUGCUCUCAGAGAUGACCAAUUUAGCUUUCUGCUGAGAGAUACCACCUGGUUUGAUUCAAUUAAGAAUUCACAUUUUGCUUAAUAUUCCAGAACUGAGAUGGACUUAUAAAACAAGACGUUUAUUAACAAAGAGAAAUGUAAAUGAUAUAAAGCAAGGGUAAUGGAUAUGGUUAUAAAAAACCCUGCAGUAUAACACACUUCUAAGAGACUAAACAUAAUAAAUACUGUAAGGUUUUAAACCCAGGCAUAGGAGUCCCCAGUCAGCUGCUGCAGCCUGGCCUCCACAAAGCUAGUAGCACUACAGCCUUAGUCAAGGCACCACCCAUGAGACCCCUGAUUAGAGGAUCACUGGGGGGCCUCCACUGAUUGGUCCAAUGAUGCUAUUUAAGCCAGAAGGAGGAAGAGGAAGCUUGUCUGAGCAACAUGGUGAUUUUCUCUUGUGGCUGUGUUGGGCCCUGUUUGUGUCUGUAUCCAACCCUGUGUAUGAGCCCUACUCUGCUCCUGCACCCACCAUGCUCCAGCCUUGUGCUUAAUCAUUACCCCUCCUCCUGCCCUUAUGCUUCACAUCUUAUCUUCAGUUACCAGUCCCGCUUCUGACCCUGACUCUGGCGUGUGGUAUCUGACCUCGGCUCUGACCCUCAGCUUCGAUGCCUGGUUCUGGCUCCGGUAAUUGGCAGUUGAUUCUGGUGCUGAUACUUGGCUUCAUUCCCCAACCUGGAUGGCUGCUCCGCCCACUAGUCCUGACUCCUGCUCUGACUACUAGACCAGACUGCCUACAUCCUAGUCCAUAACUGCAAGCUUCUCAACAUCAUUAGCCCUAUGGCCAGGGUCUAGCUUUCAUGGAUGCACAGAGCGCUGUCCUUUUUGGUCCCUCAGUGAUGGAUAACAAAGGGGUUCUCCCCCCACCUCUUACAAUCCUGAAAACCCUUGAAAUCAUCACACUUUGUGAAUGAAACUUUGUCUUCUUCUUUUGGUAGAUACAGGUUUAAGUAACUUCCCUUCAGGAUUGCCUCAACACCUGAACCAUACCAAAGCCCCAGAUUCUUAAUCCCUGAAGAUUUGGAUGUGGUGAAGGUAACUGUUAAUGACUUGUUGAAGACAUCUAAACAAAACCAAGCAGGACACUAAUUAUCUGUUUCUUGAGAACAUCUAGGAUGCUCCUAUUGUGUUCAGGUCUUGACAGAAGUAACCCAAGCCCACCUAGUCACUAACAAUUAAGAGGAGCAAUAAACACAGGCUCCAGGCAGUGGAUCCACCUCAGCAGUUGAACACGACACAACAGAAGGGACUGCUUUGGGAAUGUUAAGUGCUUCUAUGAUCAGAACGCUACUGAUAUUUUAAGAUGAUAGUUGCUUACAGGUAUCCAAUGUUCUGCAUGAGUUUGUGGUGGUUAUUUUUGGCUGAUCUUAUUUUAUUUGCAUUUGAUUUUCAAAUAAAAAAAAGGAAGAUGUAACACUAGCCACUAGUUAGUUAAUACUAACUUCUGCUACGUAACAGGUAAAGGCUUUUGUGAACAUGACCAAUAUCAUGUAAAAGCUACCAAGAAAUAGGAAUUCUGAUACAAGAUUGAUUUUUUUUAAAUGGGUGGAACUCUUAUUAUAUCAGCUCUUCAUAGAUCCAUUUUAAAACUGUUGUCCUGUUAUACUAGACCAUAAAAACCCUGGAUUUACCCAUGUGAUGGUUUCACUUUGCAAGAGUGUGCAGGCUUUUGUUUCACACAGCUUCAAACACCUUGAAUUUCAAAUUCAAAACAAAAUUCAAAGUGAAACUCAGUAAAAACUACUGACUUUUGCCUGAUUGGAGUCAAAAUCAUGCAAUACCAAUGAGUCUCACAUAUUGCACCUUUAUGCUGAAAUCCCAGCCUGGCCUGAGGUUUGAGUUCCAUUGAGAAUGUUGUACCUAGCUGAAAGGAGGGGAAGAGAUUAGGUUUUCAGUGAUUUUAAUUGGACACUGUAAUGGGAGCACAGUUGAGUAACAUAAGUAGCCACACAGAAUACAAGGGAUAGCAGUCAAUUGACUCAGUUGUUUCUAUACUAAUUAAUGUGUACAUAGAGAGGCUGGGUCUGUUGGAGGAGCUGCAGAUAGGAGAAUUUUGGCUUACAUAGCAUACUCUUGACUUUAAUAGAGGUCUGACUCAUAGGAAAGUUGGUACAAGACUGAUAUUUACUUGUUGGCCCAGUUAUAGACAUAAAUCAGGGUUACAAAAGGUUAUACGUGUCACUUGGCAGGAAUCAGUAUCCAAUGACUCUGUGGGCUAUUGUUGCAUCUUUGUUUGUCUGUGGAAUUUAGGUUGUUGAGGUUUUUUUUCCUUUGACCAAAUGCAUUUAAAACCAUAAACCAAAAAUAACACAUAAUUAAUAAAAGAACUCUGGAACAGAGGUAUAUUAAACAUCAGUCACUAAGCGCUGUCUCUGAAACGAUUCAGUACGUUGAA